CGUCCUCUUCCUCUGGCCAGAUCAUGUCUUCCAGAAGCUCUGUUCAUCUCUGGUUCCCUCGGUUGAUCUGUAGCUAAUUAAUCCUGCGUUGUGGAGAAGCAGCUGAGAUAAAAUCUUGCCUAGCCCCCUAGGCCUCUGCUGGGACUCCCAAAGACCCCGGCCUAAGUAACAGACCUACUUCAUGCUCUUGCAGUGCCAGGCUGGUAGAAGACUGAAUGGUUCCACUUUCACGGCCACAGAAGCUGGGGUGUAGUGAUCGUGGAGGGACGUGUAGCUGGAGGUGCCGGGUCCAGUCCCUAGGAAACCCACUGGUUUUGAUCUGAAACUCUUCAGUCUGGUUGAACACAGAGGACCGCUCUCAAAUGCCAGCUCAAACCAUACCUUCCUAUACUACGGUUCCCGCCUUGACCUGGACACCAUGUGAACAGGGACAAAAUGAAGAACUCAAGAGGCAGAAGCAGGUGGAUCUCUGUGAAUUCAAGGUCAGUCUGGUCUAUAAAUUGAGUUCCGGGCCAGCCAGAGCUCCAUGGAGAAACCUUGUUUGGGAGGUGGGGCGGAGAAGGAAGACUGACAGAGGAUACAACAAAUAAAUGUUUUGCCUGCAUGUAUUUUUUUUUCUUUUAAAAUCAUUAUGUACAAUGUUCUGCCUGCAGGCCAGAGGAGGACACCAGAUGGCAUUAUAGAUGGUUAUGAGCCACUGUGUGGAUGCUGGGAAUUGAACUCAGGACCUCUGGAAGGGCAGUCAGUGCUCUUUACCCUCUGAGCCAUCUCUCCAGCACCACAUUCAGCAAUUCUGAAUGUCACUGAGAUGCAAAAUUGGCCAGCUGCCAACACUGGCCCCACAGACCCCUAGUCUUCAGCUUCUUCCUCACCCUGGGAAUUCUGACUCUUCUGAAGAGUUUCUGCCUCAGCUGCUCCACA